rnacentral:rRNA from 1 species
AGAGUUUGAUCCUGGCUCAGAGCGAACGCUGGCGGCAGGCUUAACACAUGCAAGUCGAGCGGGCGUAGCGAUACGUCAGCGGCAGACGGGAGAGUAACACGUGGGAACGCGCCCUUCGGUUCGGAAUAACUCAGGGAAACUUGAGCUAAUACCGGAUACGCCCUAACGGGGAAAGAUUUAUUGCCGAAGGAACGGCCCGCGUCGGAUUAGCUAGUUGGUGAGGUAAUGGCUCACCAAGGCGACGAUCCGUAGCUGGUCUGAGAGGAUGACCAGCCUCACUGGGACUGAGACACGGCCCAGACUCCUACGGGAGGCAGCAGUGGGGAAUAUUGGACAAUGGGCGCAAGCCUGAUCCAGCCAUGCCGCGUGGAUGAUGAAGGCCCUAGGGUUGUAAAGUCCUUUUAACGGGGAAGAUAAUGACGGUACCCGUAGAAUAAGCCCCGGCUAACUUCGUGCCAGCCGCCGCGGUAAUAC